rnacentral:rRNA from 1 species
GAUGAACGCUAGCUACAGGCUUAACACAUGCAAGUCGAGGGGUCUGCUUCGGCAGACGACCGGCGCACGGGUGAGUAACGCGUAUCCAACCUGCCCUUCAUAUUGGGAUAGCCUCUCGAAAGGGAGAUUAAUACCGAAUAACAUGAGAUCGACACCUGUUUAUUUCAUGAAAGCUCCGGCGAUGAAGGAUGGGGAUGCGUUCCAUUAGGUAGUAGGCGGGGUAACGGCCCACCUAGCCUACGAUGGAUAGGGGUUCUGAGAGGAAGGUCCCCCACACUGGAACUGAGACACGGUCCAG